AGUCGAACGGAAACGAUGGAAGCUUGCUUCCAGGCGUCGAGUGGCGGACGGGUGAGUAACGCGUAGGAAUCUGCCUGAUAGUGGGGGAUAGCCCGGAGAAAUCCGGAUUAAUACCGCAUAGUCUAUUCGUAGUAAAGGGGGCCUCUAUUUAUAAGCUCUCGCUAUCAGAUGAGCCUGCGUCAGAUUAGCUUGUUGGUGAGGUAAAAGCUCACCAAGGCAACGAUCUGUAGCUGGUCUGAGAGGAUGAUCAGCCACACUGGGACUGAGACACGGCCCAGACUCCUACGGGAGGCAGCAGUGGGGAAUAUUGGACAAUGGGGGCAACCCUGAUCCAGCAAUGCCGCGUGUGUGAAGAAGGCCUGAGGGUUGUAAAGCACUUUCAGUUGGGAAGAUAAUGACGUUACCAACAGAAGAAGCACCGGCUAAAUCCGUGCCAGCAGCCGCGGUAAUACGGAUGGUGCGAGCGUUAAUCGGAAUUACUGGGCGUAAAGCGCGCGUAGGCGGCUAAGUCAGUCAGAAGUGAAAGCCCCGGGCUCAACCUGGGAAUUGCUUUUGAUACUGCUUAGCUAGAGUUUGGUAGAGGAUAGUGGAAUUCCAGGUGUAGCGGUGAAAUGCGUAGAUAUCUGGAGGAACAUCAGUGGCGAAGGCGACUGUCUGGACCAAAACUGACGCUGAGGUGCGAAAGCGUGGGUAGCAAACAGGAUUAGAUACCCUGGUAGAAGGGC
rnacentral:rRNA from 1 species